rnacentral:rRNA from 1 species
UCGGUGGGGUAACCCGCAAGGGAGCCAGCCGCCGAAGGUGGGGUAGAUGAUUGGGGUGAAGUCGUAACAAGGUAGCCGUAUCGGAAGGUGCGGCUGGAUCACCUCCUUUCUAAGGA